rnacentral:lncRNA from 1 species
AAUAUUUUCCUUUCAUGAGAUUAUAUUAAUCUCAACUUUGCCUCUGCCACGAUAUACUGCUAAACAAGAACUUAAUCCAAAUCGUGCAAAAGUUAUAAUAUGGCCAAGGCUCUUAUGAAGUUUGUUGUCUUUGUUGCUUUGUUGCUGAUUACCAUGGGUUUGUUUCUUUUUCUUAUUUCGGUCCCUUCAUAACCAUUUCAUUUAAUAUAAGUCUUUUAUUGUGAUAUUUUAGACAUCAACAUCAACGUCAACAUACCCACUAUUAUUUCACACUAUAGGCUUUGGAAAAAUAGCUCAUAAACUAUGAACCGACUCAAGUUUUGGUGAGUCAUUGACCGCCUUAUUAUCACUCGGUCCAUUUUGAUCCAACUCAACUUAGUUUAAGUAAUUUUUGGACGGACAAAUAACUCUUCCAUUUUUUAAUUUGGCCCAUUUUUGCACGCCCAAAUUCUACCGGACUUGCGUAUCUGACACCCCUAAACUUUUUAAUUUUGGUCAUAAUACCCCUAAACUCAUAUGUGAUAUAACGGAUUGCUUACAAUUUUCUUGUGUAUAAUUGCAGAUACUUCAUCCAUUAAGGUGGCAGCACUAAGAAAAUGCAGUAAUUCAGAGGAUUGUGAUAGGGUUUGUUCUUAUCCCUGGAAAACCAGUUGUGUUUUUCACAGAUGCAUAUGCUGGUCCAAGAAAAAGCAAGAUAUGGGUACUCAAUUAGGCUUGAAUUCCAAAAAUAAUUGAUGUCUUUUAUUGUUCUUGUAUUUAUUUACGCUAAAAAUAGAUGUGGACUUGAUCUUGUGUAGUACUCUAUGUCAUAAAUGCUGUUUGCUAAUUGAUAUAAAUGAAAUGCUGCUUUUAAGUAUUCGUG